CGCCCACGUGUCGGCAUGCAGAGCGUGGGGCUGGGAGGCUGGAGGAGGCAGCCGAGCAGCCUCUGUGUUACUGCUGCCAAUGCCCAGAAGGGCCCAGGUCACCGACUGACUGGACGCCGCGUCCACUGGGCGGUAGAUCUCCAGUUCCUGAGCGAAGGGCGAAGAAGGAUGGCGGGGAUCUUAGUCUGUCAACCAGAAAACUGAGUCACAAGAUGCCUGAGAAGAUGCGUCUGACGAAGACAUGCAGGGCUGGUCCGAGACCGUUUCCCAAUUCCCACUAAACUGGAAAAUCCAGCAUAAGCGGGAGUGUGCAAGACGCCUGGAGCCUUGGCGGAGAGGAAGAGACAGCAGCAGGCAGCGGCCACGGAGCAGAAAGAAUCUCUCCUGGAAGCGGUUUCCCAGCAAGCGUGGUGGUUCCUCCCGACAACGUAACAGCCCCACUCGUGGACUCUCCCUCCGGAUACCUGGGAACAAAGGGAUAG